rnacentral:rRNA from 1 species
GCGGUAGGCUUAACACAUGCAAGUCGUGCGAGAAAGUAUCUUCGGAUAUGAGUAGAGCGGCGGACGGGUGAGUAACGCGUAGGAAUCUACCUAGUAGAAGGGGAUAGCCCGGGGAAACUCGGAUUAAUACCGUAUACCUCCUUUGGGAGAAAGAAGGCCUCUCUUUGAAGCUUUCGCUAUUAGAUGAGCCUGCGUAAGAUUAGCUUGUUGGUGAGGUAAAGGCUCACCAAGGCGACGAUCUUUAGCGGGUCUGAGAGGACGAUCCGCCACAUUGGGACUGAGACACGGCCCAGACUCCUACGGGAGGCAGCAGUGGGGAAUAUUGGACAAUGGGCGCAAGCCUGAUCCAGCCAUACCGCGUGUGUGAAGAAGGCCCUAGGGUUGUAAAGCACUUUAAGUUGGGAAGAAAAGUUAUUGGUUAAUACCCAAUGACCGUGACAUUACCUUCAGAAUAAGGACCGGCUAAUUCCGUGCCAGCAGCCGCGGUAAUACGGAAGGUCCAAGCGUUAAUCGGAAUUACUGGGCGUAAAGCGCGCGUAGGUGGUUUAUUAAGUUGGAUGUGAAAUCCCCGGGCUCAACCUGGGAACUGCAUCCAAAACUGAUUCACUAGAGUACGAUAGAGGGAGGUAGAAUUCACAGUGUAGCGGUGGAAUGCGUAGAUAUUGUGAAGAAUACCAAUGGCGAAGGCAGCCUCCUGGAUCUGUACUGACACUGAGGUGCGAAAGCGUGGGUAGCGAACAGGAUUAGAUACCCUGGUAGUCCACGCCGUAAACGAUGUCAACUAGCUGUUGGAAAACUAUGUUUUUCAGUGGCGCAGCUAACGUAGUAAGUUGACCGCCUGGGGAGUACGGCC